rnacentral:rRNA from 1 species
CGAGAAAGCCCGCAAGGGUGAGUAAAGCGGCGCACGGGUGCGUAACACGUGGGUAAUCUGCCCUGGAGUCCGGAACAACUCGCCGAAAGGCGAGCUAAUGCCGGAUAAGACCACGGGGGCUUCGGCUCCUGAGGGAAAAGGUGGCCUCUGUACACAAGCUAUCGCUCUAGGAUGAGCCCGCGGCCCAUCAGCUCGUUGGCGGGGUAAUGGCCCACCAAGGCUACGACGGGUAGCUGGUCUGAGAGGACGAUCAGCCACACUGGAACUGAGACACGGUCCAGACUCCUACGGGAGGCAGCAGUGGGGAAUCCUGCGCAAUGGGCGAAAGCCUGACGCAGCAACGCCGCGUGUGUGAUGAAGGUCUUCGGAUCGUAAAGCACUGUCGCGAGGGACG